UGGACCCUGAACGUUACAUAACAGGUGCUUAUCAAGUUCGUCCGCGUGUUAGCUGAAACGAGGUUGUAACAUAUAAAGUCGCGGUAAAUGACCACUUUGACAGCUUUUCGUGUUUCGUUUGGUUAAGUUGGUGUCCCAUUAUCGUAGUUGAGGUCGAAUGUGGUACUGAAUAAACACCAGUUUGUGUACUUGUGACUAACAGUUAGUUUGGUGGCUAACUGUUAGCUUGGUGGCUAAAUGUUAGCAUGGUGGCUAACUGUUAGCUUGGUGGCUAAAUGUUAGCAUGGUGGCUAACUGUUAGCAUGGUGGCUAACGGUGAGCUUAGAGGCUAAAUGUUAGCUUGGUGGCUAUCUCGAAGAAAAGUGGACUAAUUGUUUUUAUUAACGUCUGGUGGAAGAGCUAUGCUGGUUAUAAUGGAUGACUUCCUGACGUCUGGACUCUGCGUUGCUCAUCACUUAAACACAACAGUGAGUAUUGACAGCACCAAGAAGCUCCGAAAAACCUCAGGGCAAUGUGACCCUCCUGACCUUCUCCUCUCUAAGGGAACAAAACCACUCCAUCCCGAGCGGGUGUCCCUCAGAACUCAGGGACACAGGGGUCAAGUACCCCGAGACUGCGAGCAGGUCUGUGAUCUUGUUCCGCCUGGUUCCUCAUUGUCCUUGAGAGGAGUUCAGUUGCCUUGUGAUGUAUGAGCGUCUUAUGAUUUCAGACGUCACCGUUAAAUCCACCCACUUUCUGUACUCUGCUCGGCCCCAGGAAAUAUCUUAUUUUUCUGGUGCUCCCUUUCAACCACAUAUUGCUCCAAAAAGGGAAUAAAAAGAAGAAUGUCU